AGUGCUAUUGCUAAACUUCCUGAUUACUAAGUUUUUGCUGCUUAAACAAUAGCUAUAGCUUAAGAACCAAUUUACAGCUCUAACCCAACAGGAGAGGCUGGAAGUGGAAAAAGAAUGGCUCAGGACAGCAAAAGCAUCAAGCAUCUGCCCCAUCAUCCACCAGUACAUUCCUCGGGACUCCAAAGCCUUCAUCCCUAUUCCCCGCUCUAACAGUUACGCAGUCCUGUGCCGAGUGAACCUCACCUCCUCCCAAUGUGAGUGGGUCUUGCUUGCCAACAGAGGGCGCUGUUACUACUUCAACUUGGGCCUGAAGGAGCACCUCGUUCUCCACCAGAUGGGCCUUAUUGUCAUGAACAUGAAGAAGGAGCUGGAAGGAGAAUAUCAGGUCCUCUCUGGGAUAAACCGGACCUGUCAGGGAAGGGUCUUGAUGACGUAUGUGGGGCCGUUAUUCCUUUAUCGGAUCUUCUUGCUGAUCCCUGGCAUCAUGUUCCUGAUGGGGCUGGGAAUGCUGUGGGACUGGCUGAUCAAAGCCCGCAGUCGCAUGGGGACCUCUGAAGAAGAGCAGGCCGCUAACCAACUGAUCCAGCAUGUCAUCCCUCCCUUGGAUACGACUGCCCGCCUGUGACUGUAACUCCGCCUUUCUUUCCCGUUCAUUAUAGAGGUGAUGCCAAUGUGACCCGGUGCUCAUUUGCUCUCGAUCUAUGGCUUGUAAAUAUCUCUUUUCCUGCUCAAACUCUGGUUUCUGUUUUGUUUGUUUCAGAGGUUUUUAAUUAAUAAAGAGUUCUAAACCAAACUGA